rnacentral:rRNA from 1 species
AUGAUCUCAGCCGUACUACCCACUGCUGCAUCACCGACCGUGAACAUCGCUAGUGUGCGUACUCACGUCCCCGUCACCCUGGACCUCCAUGCUUCCAACUUGACCAAGUGGAGGAUGCUAGUACGCGUCCUUCCAUGCAAGUAUGACCUGCUCUCCCAUGUCAGCGCCAUCACUGCCGAGGCGGACCGCACGCCGGACUCGACUCGCGAGGACUAUAUUGUUCGCUCGUGGCUUUACGCGUCCAUCUCCGAUGAGAUUCUGGAUAUUAUCAUGGCGGAGGACCAAACUGCUCAGGAGGCCUAG